CCGGGUGCCCCCCCGGGACCGAGUGCAGCGGCCGUGGUCCUCCUCGAUUGCUCAGCGAAUGCCACCCGCGUGGCAGAAAAGAGACGCAUGAAAUCUCCCCCACGUCACGGCUGGGAAAGUAAAGCGAGGUCACGAGAGGGAGUCUUCCUGAACUAGGAGGCGUGGUGUGUCCCCGGAGUAAAUCUCUUGUUCUUUUUUCUCGCACAGAUAGUAGGAUGGCUCAUUUGUCCCAAGACUAAAUGGGGGUUUAAACAAAAACUACGAGCUCCCGCGAAGGUCGGUGCUUGUAGACAGGGAUUAAAGCCCAAAGCGUAGGCCCUACAUUGAAACAUGGAGCUCGGCUCCAGCCAGCCCCCCGAGCUCACACUGGAAGGUUUACGCGGGGUUUCUGUUCACACGUCUGGAGGGUUACGUGGCCGAAGCAGAGCGGAGGCCUCUGAUGCCUCACUUCUGAGCACUCAGUUAACGGGCAAGAGGCUCUCGAUCCGCGCUGAGCAGCUCAGUCGCCACCAGCCACGUGCGGCUGCUCUGACCUCAGCUGUCCCCCGAGUGCACAAAACACACUGAAGGCAGACGCAGGGGGCAAGAAAGGAAGUAAGGGAUCUCCUUAAUAAUGUCACAUUGGUACGAUCUUGAAAUUAUAAUAGGCUGGGUCUACCGAACUAAGUGCCGAUAUGCUGUGAAAAUUAAUCCACUCGUUCCUUUUACCUUUGACAACGUGGCCACUAGAAAAGUGGAUGCUGCAAAUGCCGUUCUUCCGCCAGACGGUCCGCUUGGACAGCACCGCCCUGGACACGGCUUUCACGCCCGUGACGGGCAACGGGCCACCACUCGAAUUCAAGGGCGUCAGAGAUGCCAGGUGAUGUCCACCCCAGCCCAGGAGUGCGUCCCUUGUGCUCCCCAGCAAGCCUAUGCAGGACUCCCCUCUCCGACCACAGAGGUGACACGUUCCUGUGCCGUGCGGCCUGUCAGGUCCACUAGCGAACAACGAAAUCACAGUCACGCGUGACCCCUGCGUCCUGGUCUGUGGUCGUAACAUGCGUCUUCCUUUACCCUCCCCUUUGGAAAUAAAGGCGUUGUUAUCACUGGGAAA